CCAGGUCUAAACCAGGUCUAAACCAAGUCUAAACCAGAACUAAACCAGGUCUAAACCAGGACUAAACCAGGACUAAACCAGGUCUAAACCAGGUCUAAACCAGGUCUAAACCAGGACUAAACCAGGACUAAACCAGGUCUAAACCAGGACUAAACCAGGACUAAAUCAGGACUAAACCAGGUCUAAACCAGGACUAAACCAGGUCUAAACCAGGACUAAACCAGGUCUAAACCAGGUCUAAACCAGGUCUAAACCAGGACUAAACCAGGACUAAACCAGGACUAAACCAGGUCUAAACCAGGACUAAACCAGGACUAAACCAGGACUAAACCAGGUCUAAACCAGGACUAAACCAGGUCUAAACCAGGACUAAACCAGGAUUAAACCAGGUCUAAACCAGGAUUAAACCAGGUCUAAACCAGGACUAAACCAGGACUAAACAAG
ensembl:lncRNA